rnacentral:rRNA from 1 species
CAGUAGCCGCGGUAAUACGUAGGGUGCAAGCGUUAAUCGGAAUUACUGGGCGUAAAGCGUGCGCAGGCGGUUAUAUAAGACAGAUGUGAAAUCCCCGGGCUCAACCUGGGAACUGCAUUUGUGACUGUAUAGCUAGAGUACGGCAGAGGGGGGUAGAAUUCCACGUGUAGCAGUGAAAUGCGUAGAGAUGUGGAGGAAUACCGAUGGCGAAGGCAGCCCCCUGGGCCAAUACUGACGCUCAUGCACGAAAGCGUGGGGAGCAAACAGGAUUAGAUACCCCUGUAGUCCCUGUCUCUUAUAA